rnacentral:rRNA from 1 species
UACGUAGGGUGCAAGCGUUAAUCGGAAUUACUGGGCGUAAAGCGUGCGCAGGCGGUUUUGUAAGUCUGACGUGAAAUCCCCGGGCUCAACCUGGGAAUUGCGUUGGAGACUGCAAGGCUGGAGUCUGGCAGAGGGGGGUAGAAUUCCACGUGUAGCAGUGAGAUGCGUAGAGAUGUGGAGGAACACCGAUGGCGAAGGCAGCCCCCUGGGUCAAGACUGACGCUCAUGCACGAAAGCGUGGGGAGCAAACAGG